CCUAUAAAAAAAAAAUCAAAUUAAACCAAGAAAGGCUCGUGCCAAAUCAUGCACUAUUCCAAUUCCAAUUGAAAGCCUAGUUUGAGACUUCUAGCGUACACAGACAUGCAUUACUGUUACCUGACAAUAACACAGGAACUACAAAUCAUUCCUCUUGUAUAGCUUCUUUAUUUGGUUAAUCAUAUCUUCUCUACCCUCUCUCUGUCUGAAGCCUUUGCUCACACCAGUCAGCAUAAAAAAUAGAACUCAACAUUAGUUGUCAAUUUUUUUAAUAAGUUCAAAUCCAGAAAGUUAACUAAUAAUAUUGAGAAAUGCUAGCAACACACUCUUUUAAAGCUAUAAAGUGGCAUAUCCAAUGUCCAAUGUUAAAAGACAUCACAUUAGCAGUUCUUCACGUGUCCUGAGUCAUUCCCAUCUACUUCCACUAGCCUCAAAAUUUUCUUCCAUUGGACCACAUCAAC
rnacentral:lncRNA from 1 species